rnacentral:pre_miRNA from 1 species
AGCCUUCUGUAUCCGUGCUGAGAUUUCAUCGCACACCAGAACACAAGGGUUGAUGAGACCUCCCAGAUAAGUGAAGCG